AAUAAAUCUCUUAUAUUUGUAUUUUCAUGCUCAUAUUGUUAAUCGAAAUAUCAAUGUUGCAUUCAACCAAGUAUCAUCUAAACAUAUUGCCACCAAUUCCCGCAGCAACGUGCGGGGAAUUGUCUAGUAUCCCUAAUCCAACUUUACAGUUCCAAGCAAGGUGCAUACAAGUUCACAGAAUUCACAGAAGAACCAAGAGGUGCAUACACUUGCCACUAGCUGGUUCACAGAAUUCACAGAAAAACCAAGAGGUGCAUACACUUGUCACUAGCUGAUCCAAUGAGAGUCUACCAAAAUAAAGUACACGUUGACUUGUGAGUAAAAUAACUGGCCAUUCCAAACACCACAAAGGUGGCAUAAUAGGGCAUCAGAAAGAGACAGCACAACAUCUCUGGUACUGUCCGGUCGCAGUCAAGAGGUGCGUACAACUUCACUUAGAACCAGUUCACUUGUCAAUAGCUGGUCAAAUGAAAGUCUACCAAAAUAAAGUACAAGUUGACUUGUGAGCAAAAUAACUGGCAAAUUGGAACACCAUAAAAUAAGGUGCCAUAAUACGGCAUCAGAAAGAGACAGCACAACAUCUGGUACUGAUUACUUCCUUCUGAUCAAUUGUUUUCUCUUGAUCAAUCAGACGUGUGGCAGAGACCACAUGCUUAAUUCCCACCGGUUUCAUGCUCUUGCUGGAUGUUUUCUCAGUCUUAACCUGGACGGCAGUGAUCCAUAGCUGAUUCUUGAGGGGGCGAGAUUUAAUU
rnacentral:lncRNA from 1 species